CCUACGGGAGGCAGCAGUAAGGAAUAUUGGUCAAUGGACGCAAGUCUGAACCAGCCAUGCCGCGUGAAGGAUUAAGGCCCUCUGGGUUGUAAACUUCUUUUAUAGGGGACGAAAAAAGGGCAUUCUUGCUCACUUGACGGUACCCUAGGAAUAAGCACCGGCUAACUCCGUGCCAGCAGCCGCGGUAAUACGGAGGGUGCAAGCGUUAUCCGGAUUUACUGGGUUUAAAGGGUGCGUAGGUGGGUUGGUAAGUCAGUGGUGAAAUCUUCGAGCUUAACUCGGAAACUGCCAUUGAUACUAUCAAUCUUGAAUCAUCUAGAGGUAAGCGGAAUAUGUCAUGUAGCGGUGAAAUGCUUAGAUAUGACAUAGAACACCAAUUGCGAAGGCAGCUUACUAUGGAUGCAUUGACACUGAGGCACGAAAGCGUGGGGAUCAAACAGGAUUAGAUACCCUGGUAGUCCACGCCCUAAACGAUGGAUACUCGACAUUUGUGAUAUACUAUAAGUGUNUGNGNGAAGACAUUAAUAUCCACCUCGGAGUACGACCGCGAGUAGAACGUACAAAUAGAAGUUAGUACGGCGUGAGACGUAGACCCGAACGGACCGACCGACCGACGGGGGAGGGUUAGGGGAGG
rnacentral:rRNA from 1 species